UAUCUUCUAGAUCUCUUCCUUCAGAAUCAUAGAAGAAGAAAAUGAAGGGAAACUCCGAAAGAGGCACAGAAUUUGAUUCUAACAGUUCUUCAGAGUUCAUUACUAUUGGUACUUUUCUUUCAUAUAUUUCUUUACCAAAGAGAAAUCCUAUGAUCGUAACAGAAAUGAAGGUCAGAGCUGAGAGGGCGGCUCCAAUGAAG
rnacentral:ribozyme from 10 species